rnacentral:rRNA from 1 species
GAAUAUUGGACAAUGGGGGGAACCCUGAUCCAGCCAUGCCGCGUGUGUGAAGAAGGCCUUUUGGUUGUAAAGCACUUUAAGCGAGGAGGAGGAGCUCGUGGUUAAGACCCAAGGUGCUUGGACGGCACGCGCAGAAUAAGCACCGGCUAACGCGGUGCCAGCAGCCGCCGUAAUACAGAGGGUGCAAGCGUUAAUCGGAUUUACUGGGCGUACAGCGCGCGUCGGUGGCCAAUUCAGUCACAUGUGAAAUCCCCGAGCUUAACUUGGGAAUUGCAUUCGAUACUGGUUGGCUAGAGUAUGGGAGAGGAUGGUAGAAUUCCAGGUGUAGCGGUGAAAUGCGUAGAGAUCUGGAGGAAUACCGAUGGCGAAGGCAGCCAUCUGGCCUAAUACUGACACUGAGGUGCGAAAGCAUGGGGAGCAAACA